rnacentral:rRNA from 1 species
CUAAGGCUCCAGAGGAAGCCACGGCUAACUCUGUGCCUGCAGCCGCGGUAAUACAGAGGCGGCAAGCGUUGUUCGGAAUUAUUGGGCGUAAAGAGCACGUAGGCGGCCUUGCAAGUCAGUUGUGAAAGCCUUCCGCUUAACGGAAGAAUGCCAGCUGAUACUACAGGGCUUGAGUACGGGAGGGGAGAGUGGAGCUUCUGGUGGAGCGGUGAAAUGCGUAGAUAUCAGAAGGAACGCCGGCGGCGAAAGCGACUCUCUGGCCCGAAACUGACGCUGAGUGUGCGAAAGCUAGGGGAGCAAACGGGAUUAGAUACCCCGGUAGUCCUAGCCGUAAA